GAUCGCCUAGGGACGCAGCAGUGGGGAAUAUUGCACAAUGGGGGGAACCCUGAUGCAGCAAUGCCGCGUGGGUGAAGAAGCACUCCGGUGCGUAAAGCCCUGUCAGCAGGGAAGAAAAUGACAGUACCUGGACAAGAAGCCCCGGCUAACUACGUGCCAGCAGCCGCGGUAAUACGUAGGGGGCAAGCGUUAUCCGGAUUUACUGGGUGUAAAGGGAGCGCAGGCGGCGUGGCAAGUCAGAUGUGAAAACCCGGGGCCCAACUCCGUACUGCCGUUGAAACUGCAUCCCUUGAGUGCGCGAGAAG
rnacentral:rRNA from 1 species